UACAGAGGUCCCAAGCGUUGUUCGGAUUCACUGGGCGUAAAGGGUGCGUAGGUGGUUGGGUAAGUUUGAUGUGAAAGCUCUGGGCUCAACCCAGAAAUGGCAUUGAAUACUAUCCAGCUAGAGGAGUGGAGGGGGGACUGGAAUACUUGGUGUAGCAGUGAAAUGCGUAGAGAUGUGGAGGAAUACCGAUGGCGAAGGCAGCCCCCUGGGCCAAUACUGACGCUGAGGCGCGAAAGCUAGGGGAGCAAACGGG
rnacentral:rRNA from 1 species